rnacentral:tRNA from 1 species
GCUAGCGUAGCUUAAUAAUAAAGCGUGACACUGAAAAUGCCAAAAUAGACACUAAUAAAUCUCGCAAGCA